GACGAACGCUGGCGGCGUGCUUAACACAUGCAAGUCGAACGGAAAGGCCCUGCUUUUGUGGGGUGCUCGAGUGGCGAACGGGUGAGUAACACGUGAGUAACCUGCCCUUGACUUUGGGAUAACUUCAGGAAACUGGGGCUAAUACCGGAUAGGAGCUCCUGCUGCAUGGUGGGGGUUGGAAAGUUUCGGCGGUUGGGGAUGGACUCGCGGCUUAUCAGCUUGUUGGUGGGGUAGUGGCUUACCAAGGCUUUGACGGGUAGCCGGCCUGGGAGGGUGACCGGCGACCUUGCGCCUGCGGUACGGCCCAGACUGCUACGGGAGGCAGCAGUGGGGAAUCUUGCACAAUGGGCGGACGCCUGAUGCAGCAGCGCCGCGUGCGGGAUGACGGCCUUCGGGUUGUAAACCGCUUUCGCAUGUGACGAAGCGUGAGUGACGGUAAUGGGUAAAGAAGCACCGGCUAACUACGUG
rnacentral:rRNA from 1 species